rnacentral:tRNA from 1 species
CCAACCUUAGCUCAGUUGGUAGAGCGGAGGAUUGUAGUAGGAAGAGAAAUCCCGGUUGUCAUCCGUAGGUCGCUUGUUCGAAUCCGGUAGGUCGGA